ensembl:lncRNA
AAAACAUGUAAGCACAAGGACUGAAGCACUUAGGUUGGUACUGGAAUUUGCAAAUGGAUGAGUGGAAGAAUUCUCUUUAGCAAUAGAGACAUUAUGGGGCCUCCGGCCAGAAUAUGUAGAAUGUCAUCAGCUUCUGACUAUGGGGAUACCUAAUAGGAAUUUUCCUGCAGGACUUCAUUCAUUUUGUGCCAUGUAUGGAUCUGAGAGUCCCUCUCCAACUAGAAGACUGGAAUAUUGUAGUGCAGCCCACAGUCUUGUCAAAGUAAAGGAGCUUGGCCACACUCAUUUGGUUACUGAUACAGAAACUCAAAUCUGGAAGCAACUGUGCUGGAAAAGGGUGGUGCGAAAAAGCUUCUACUCAGCAGGGGGAAGAAAAAUGGACCAUGUUAUAACAAAUAACAUAGCGGUGAACUCUCUGGAUGGUGGAGUUGUUCUGUGUGCUCCAGUUCCUACCGAGAUUGUGCCUAACUCAUCAUGAAUCUCAGCAGCAGCAGCAUGGACACCAUCACCAGCACACGCGUUUACAAGUAUCCAAUUACGGGUUAGAGACUCUGCAAGGAAAUUACAUUCACCCAGCACCUGGCCAGAACCUAAGACUUGUUUCAGCACUUCCUGCAAUUAGCAGAGGGCAGUUGCCUCCAUGGUGUGUAGCCAGUUGGGGUGAUGAGCAAUUCUCCCCCCAAAAGCCUCAUGAGACAUCUGGUGACUGAGUUCGCAAUGGCACUGCCUCAGUGUGUGUGCCCAUAAAAAUGCGAGCUGACGGUACCCGUCUAGGACAGGGUUCACCAGGCUUGUCUGUGCCUGCCUCUGCUGAGACGCUCUCAAGGGACUGCUAGAUUCCCACCCCCUUUCUUUAACAGUUCUUCCAACAGAGAGGCAGAACCUACUUCCUUCAGCUGCUUUCCUCUCUCCCCAAUUUCAGAAUUACUGUAAUUGUCCAUUGCAGUUGUUUGGCAUUCAUGUCAAUUUCAGUACAAGCUGGAGAAUUCAGGAGAAGUUGUAAGGUGUGAGGGUUGGGAGUUGCAUCCACUUGUCAGGGAAACUGCGACGUCCGAGGCAGGUCUGAGGCCUUUGCUACUUGGAUCGCUCCAGCAGAAUGGAUUGAGGGAGGUCCCCAGGAAGAAAUGUCCGCCCAUGGCCAAUUGCAUGCCGCAUUGGGGAGGGAGGUGUCAAACAAUGGUAAAGUGGAUAGGUGGUAAAGUGUCUUUUACCAUCUCUUAUAAGGACAAGUGACUCUCUGAGAUAAAAAACCACAAAGCCUCUUCUAAAGUUUAUAUUUACAGAGGCUCUGUGACUGCACGGCCACUUUUCUCAGCAGCUGUAGCAGGUCUUGGAAUAACAUUGCUUCAUUCAACAUCAUUUUAUUAUAAUGUUGAGGAGAAAAAAAUAUUGAUUCUCAGCCAGGGCCACUGUCUGUGUGGAGUUGUCAUGUUCUUGUCAUGUCUGUGUGGGUUUCCUCCCACAUCCCAAAGCUGUGCACCUCCGGUGAAACAGAAUACCACAUGGUCCCAGUAUGAGUGAAUGUGUGUGUAUGUGAGUGUGCCAUGGGAUGGGAUGGGAUGGUGUCCUGUCCAGGACGGGCUCCUGCCUGGCACCCGAGCUGCUGGCAUAGGCUCUGGCCACCUGAGAUCCUGAACUGGAAUAAGCAGGUAAAUAAUUAUCUUACUUGUUUUUUUAAGUCUUUCUUAAUUGUAUGUAUAACUCACAUUUUUUUCAAUGUCUAAUGUUAGAGUUGUCUGGUCUUUAUUUAGAAGUUUGGUGAUAUUUUUGUAACCAGAGAAAUAUGUUAUAGAAACUUUACUCUUAUUUAUAGUAACUAGCCUAUGGCAAAAUUGGUUAUCUUACAUGUCAUUUCACUUACAGUCACAGUUUCCAAGAACCUAUCCAUUAUGUUUAGUGAGUUCUAACUGUAUAUAUUAAGCAGCAUUUACAGUGCAGUGAAAAACUGUGAGAUGUUCCUAUGAACAGUGUCAACUUUGGUUUAGCAUUGCCUGUAUCAUGCAGGGCAAUACAGUGUCUAGUUUGAGUAUUUUAAUUCGUCUCUAUGAAAUGAAUUAUUGGGAGAGAUUUGUUAAAGGACAAAAAAUUACAGCUAGAUGGGAGGACUAGUGCUAGUGUUGUAUAGCACUGUAGGAUAACUACAGUUAUUAAUAACAUAUAGUUUCAACUAGUUAGAAGGAAGAUAUUAAAUGUUCCCAACACAAACAAAUAAUCAAUGUUGGAGAUGAUGGAUAUGCUCAUUACCCUGAGCUGAUUGUACUAUACAUAUGCACUAUAUGUAUUGCAACAUCACCAUGUACUCCAUAAAUAUGUACAACUAUUAUGUGUUAAUUAAAACAUUUUUUAAAAAGUC